AUUGAACGCUGCGGCAGGCUUAACACAUGCAAGUCGAGCGAGCGGCGGACGGGUGAGUAAUGAUUAGGAAUAUACCUCUUAGUGAGGGACACGAUCACGAAAGGAAUGCUAAGACCACAUACUAAUAGAUGCGCCUAAGUCGGAGUAGCUAGUUGGUGGGGUAAAGGCAUACCAAGGCGACGAUCUGUAGCAGGCCUGAGAGGAUGAUCGGCCACACUGGGACUGAGACACGGCCCAGACUCCUACGGGAGGCAGCAGUGGGGAAUAUUGGACAAUGGGGGGAACCCUGAUCCAGCCAUGCCGCGUGUGUGAAGAAGGCCUUAUGGUUGUAAAGCACUUUUAGCGAGGAGGCGUAACUCGCAGAAAAAGCACCGGCUACCUCUGUGCCAGCAGCCGCGGUAAUA
rnacentral:rRNA from 1 species